UAUCCACGGAUGUGAGCAAAUACCAGGAGCUGAUUUUGCAACACGCACAGUGACGAGCCGGAGCAUCCAUGCGCCUCUCCAGGCAAUAACAGAGCCCUCUGCCUGCCUGCUUGCUGUUCACUAGGAGAGAGAGACACAUUUUGCACAAAGCAGCCGAUUUGCGUUUUGUGGACUUACUUUAACUGUCGAGGUUCGCAGUCAACUCCCGGCAGCAGGAGCCUCGCUGCCUGCCGUACGUCAUCGCUGUCCACCGAGAAACUGCGACGGUGCCCCGCGUGAGCCACGGCAACCCGAAUCCAUUCCAUCAGGGGAGGCAGCACAAUGAACGGCCUGGGGAAGCACACAAACGUGAAUGCCACAGUACCCUGGCACGGAAAUAACAGGAGUAUCAAACCGCUACAGCUUUGGGUGCCAGCUGUUCUGCCAACUGAGCAAAAAUAUAGAAAACCAACCCCCAAAGUGAAUGGUGGGACUCUGGGCCACAGCCUCACCUUGAGCAAAGUUUGGGCACUAUCAGAGACAUGGUCCUUCACUCCACAAUGCCUGCGCAGCUCUGUGCCCCAGUGAGAGCUGCACAAGCCUUAGAUGAAGCAUGCAGCACACGAUUUGCUCCACCUAUGUUAAAAAUUACUUGGGAACCAAGAGAAAAAUGCCACACUUAAAUGAGAACCAUAGCUUUAAGUCCUAGUUCAGAGAUAAAACUAAUAAAAUGACUGCAGCUGAA